rnacentral:rRNA from 1 species
UCAGGCCUAACACAUGCAAGUCGAACGAGAAAGCCGCAAGGUGAGUAAAGUGGCGCACUGGUGAGUAACACGUGGAUAUCUACCUCUUGGUGGGGAAUAACCUAGGGAAACUUGGGCUAAUACCGCAUAAGCUUGAGAGAGGAAAGCCGAAAGGCGCCGAGAGAGGAGUCCGCGGCCGAUUAGCUAGUUGGUAGGGUAAAGGCCUACCAAGGCAAAGAUCGGUAGCCGGCCUGAGAGGGCACACGGCCACACUGGCACUGAAACACGGGCCAGACUCCUACGGGAGGCAGCAGUGGGGAAUCUUGCACAAUGGGGGAAACCCUGAUGCAGCGACGCCGCGUGAGCGAUGAAGCCCUUCGGGGUGUAAAGCUCUUUCGGCAGGAGCGAUAAUGAC